rnacentral:tRNA from 1 species
GCCCACGCUUUCCUCCUCGGAACCUCCAUGGUAAGGAGGGGGUCGACGGUUCGAGUCCGUCAGAGGGCU